GGGCUGCAACCGGGAAUUGUGCGCAAUGGACGAAAGUCUGACGCCGCGACGCCGCGUGUGGGAUGACGGCCUUCGGGUUGUAAACCACUUUUGAUCCACCAGAGAUGGUGGGUAGAAUAAGCACCCGCUAACUUCGUGCCAGCAGCUGCGGUAAUACGAAGGGUGCGAGCGUUGCCCGGAAUUACUGGGCGUAAAGAGUUCGUAGGCGGUCUAACAAGUCGCAUUUCAAAGCCCAGAGCUUAACUUUGGAAAGGGAUGCGAUACUGUUAGACUUGGAGCAUUUAGAGGCUACUGGAACUGCCGAUGUAGGGGUGAAAUCCGUUGAUAUCGGCAGGAACUCCAAGGGCGAAGGCGGGUAGCUGGGAAUGCCUCGACGCUGAGGGACGAAAGCUAGGGUAGCGAAAGGGAUUAGAUACCCCGGUAGUC
rnacentral:rRNA from 1 species